GAGUCCAUCAAAUGAAAAACUUCACGUUUGGUAGCAUAUUUUGGCUGAGUAUGUAGUGAUGAAUUAAGGCGUCAAGUUCAUAUAUCAUAGAGUCCUUUUGUGUCUAAAUUACUUUUUUUUUUUCAGCGGAGUCUCGUAUGCAUAGAAUUCAUUGUUUACGAACAUUAUACUUGUAAACACAUUUUUUAAUUAAACGAAAGUAGUUAAACAUCUGGGGAAAAAAAAGAGCAUAGGCAAAUUCUAAUUAUUGUGAUGAUGAUAUAUAGGCAGACUUUAUUCAGUUGAAAACAUCAUGUUUCAGAGGACAGUUGUGGCUUGGAGAUCUGUUUUAUAUGUAUAAUGCAAUAUUCAGGGCUUUGGGAUAUGGAUAUUCUGCAUGGAUUUCAGGUUUGAAUCAGAAGAUUUCUGCCGGGGGUAGAUUCAAGAAGACAUUGUUUGAUGUUGCACAUGCAUAAGCAAACUUAAUUACAUGAAGAAGGGAUACAAUCAUGAUCAGGCAGCGCCAAUUUUUGAUAAGAUAGUUUUCAACAAGGUGAAACAAGGAUUAGGAGGGCGUGUACAACUAAUUCUAUAUGGAGCAGCUCCCCUUGCCUCCCAUGUGGAAGCUUUUCUACGAGUGGUGACUUGCGCUCAUGUUCUACAAGGCUAUGGUAUGACUGAAACUUGUACAGGUACUUUUAUCUCCCUACCAAAUGAGCUCUCUGUGCUUGGGACAGUUGGACUGUGGACGUGUGCUUGGUGUCUGCUCCUGAAAUGAA